UACGUAGGGUGCAAGCGUUUGUCCGGAAUUAUUGGGCGUAAAGAGCUCGUAGGCGGUCUGUCGCGUCUGCUGUGAAAACUCAGGGCUUAACCCUGAGCUUGCAGUGGGUACGGGCAGACUAGAGUGCGGUAGGGGAGACUGGAAUUCCUGGUGUAGCGGUGAAAUGCGUAGAUAUCUGGAGGAACACCGGUGGCGAAGGCGGCGUUUCUGGACUGCAACUGACACUGAUGCACGGAAAGCGUGGGGAUCAAACAGG
rnacentral:rRNA from 1 species